rnacentral:ncRNA from 1 species
AAAUGAAUAUUUCCAAUAAGUGCUUCAUUAAAAUGAGGAUAAUAGGGAAUCAGGUGAAAUUCCUGUACGGUCCCGCCACUGUAAGCGAGGAGCGGCUUAUCAAUAAACCACUGUUUUUUAUAAUAGGAAAAUGGGAAGGAGAUAAGCUGCAAUGAUACGCAAGUCAGGAAACCUGCUUGUUGGUGAAUUUGUAC